CAUUCAAGUAGUUACAUCCUUCUCUUAGACCACCUCUUAGCAUCCCUUAUUCAAAAGAAGGGUGGCUCCCUCAGCCUCUCCUUGUAGAUCAUCUGCUCAAGGCCCUUGACCAGCACAGUAGCAAUCCAUUACAUCCACUAUUCCAGUUUCUUAACAGUGCUCUCAAAAUGGACAUAAGUAUUCCAGAUGCAACCCUAUUAGCACAGGGUAGAGGGUUAUAAUAAGUUUGUUGAGUUUCCUUACCAUGUUCCUCCUGAGGCAAGUCCAGUGUGUAGUUCACUUUACUUGUGAAGAGAGUGAAAAGUGGACUCAGAUCCAGUACAGCAUCUGGACCUUUAUUCUUGAAAAGCUUCUCAAGUCUUAUGCUUGCUUAGUGAAAUUUAUCAAGGUCCCUCAGAACUGCAGAUUAUUCUUUCAUUGUGUCAAUUAAUCAUUUUGCUCUAUUGUUUCUGCAGAUUUACUAUGAAUCUGCAAUUAAUCACCAAUUAAAAUAAUUGAUAAUAUGGGUCCCAGUGUGUCCCUGAUACUAUUAUCAGCCACCAAUAGGACACAAGCUCAUUGAUUCCCACCAUUUGAGCUUAGCAAUCCAUCCAUUUUACAGCACCCAAAACAGUGCUGUGUUCCAGACCUCAACUUCCAAAUGAGAAUGCAAUGAGAGAUGGUGUUACAAGACCUACCAGCAUUCAACAGUAUCAUAGUCCCCUCAUCCAUACAGAUAGCAAUUUCUUUGCAAAAGGCAAGAGGACUGGAUAAGCAUCAUCCUUGAAAAAAAUCAUAUUGACUGCUCCUGGUUUCUGUCCUGUUCUUUACAUCUCAGGAAACAGAUUGAUUCCAUUACUUCAAGAUAUGUCUAGGGACAGAGCAGACAGCUGGAAGUUGGAAGGCUGCCAAACUGAAGGGAAGUGGAAACCAUAUUUUCUGUAAUGCAGUCAACAGUCCUUAAUCAGACCCAGGACCCUGAGGGCUCUAAGAACAAACCCCAAAUAGUCAAGAUGUUUCUAAGGUAAUAUUAAGGAAUUUUUCAAUACAAAACAUUUUUGGUUAUGGUUCAAAUGGACUGAAAACCCAAACUAUUCUAUGAUUCUACAAGAAAGAGAGACUCCAUGAUGUUUCAAAGUUAAAAUCAAAGAAUCAAAUAAGACAUCUUUACAAGUAUCUAGUAUGAUGACAUCUAAAAUUUCCAUACAAAAUGCUUGCUUGCUUAUACUGAUCUCAGAAAGCUUUAGUUGAUAAGGAACAGUGUAUAAAACCCAAUGCAUUAGACUUGCAUAGUUUAAUACACAAGGGGAGCCCAUGGGUGAAGACUUCUUUCUCCAGCUGAAGGAGCUCACAGGCUCUUGUCCUGCUGGGGGACUUCAACCCACCCUGACACCUGCCGGAAAAUUAGCACAACAAGCUGUGGCAAUCCAAGAGACUCCUGGAAUGCAUGAAAGAUAAUUUCAU